rnacentral:rRNA from 1 species
GACGAACGCUGGCGGCGUGCUUAACACAUGCAAGUCGAACGGAAAGGCCCUGCUUUUGUGGGGUGCUCGAGUGGCGAACGGGUGAGUAACACGUGAGUCACCUGCCCUUGACUUUGGGAUAACUUCAGGAAACUGGGGCUAAUACCGGAUAGGAGCUCCUGCUGCAUGGUGGGGGUUGGAAAGUUUCGGCGGUGUGGGAUGGACUCGCGGCUUAUCAGCUUGUUGGUGGGGUAGUGGCUUACCAAGGCUUUGACGGGUAGCCGGCCUGAGAGGGUGACCGGCCACAUUGGGACUGAGAGACGGCCCAGACUCCUACGGGAGGCAGCAGUGGGGAAUAUUGCACAAUGGGCGGAAGCCUGAUGCAGCAACGCCGCGUGCGGGAUGACGGCCUUCGGGUUGUAAACCGCUUUCGCCUGUGACGAAGCGUGAGUGACGGUAAUGGGUAAAGAAGCACCGGCUAACUACGUG